GUAAACGGCGGCCGUAACUAUAACGGUCCUAAGGUAGCGAAAUUCCUUGUCGGGUAAGUUCCGACCUGCACGAAUGGCGUAACGAGGGCCACACUGUCUCCACCCGAGACUCAGUGAAAUUGAAAUUGCUGUUAAGAUGCAGUAUACCCGCGGCCAGACGGAAAGACCCCGUGCACCUUUACUACAGCUUUGCAUUGAACUCUGAUCCUACCUGUGUAGGAUAGGUGGGAGACUUUGAAACUUUAACGCUAGUUAGAGUGGAGUCAUCCUUGAAAUACCACCCUGGUAUGGUUGGGGUUCUAACCUUGGUCCGUUAUCCGGAUUGGGGACAAUGCAUGGUGGGUAGUUUGACUGGGGCGGUCUCCUCCCAAAGAGUAACGGAGGAGCGCAAAGGUACCCUCAGCACGGUCGGACAUCGUGCAAUGAGCGCAAAGGUAAAAGGGUGCUUGACUGCGAGACUGACACGUCGAGCAGGUAGGAAACUAGGUCUUAGUGAUCCGGUGGUUCUGAGUGGAAGGACCAUCGCUCAACGGAUAAAAGGUACGCCGGGGAUAACAGGCUGAUACCGCCCAAGAGUUCACAUCGACGGCGGUGUUUGGCACCUCGAUGUCGGCUCAUCACAUCCUGGGGCUGAAGCAGGUCCCAAGGGUAUGGCUGUUCGCCAUUUAAAGUGGUACGCGAGCUGGGUUUAGAACGUCGUGAGACAGUUCGGUCCCUAUCUACCGUGGGCGUUGGAGACUUGAGGGAAGCUGUUCUUAGUACGAGAGGACCGGAAUGGACACACCUCUGGUGUUUCGGUUAUGACGCCAGUCGUAUUGCCGAGUAGCUAUGUGUGGAAAGGAUAACCGCUGAAAGCAUCUAAGCGGGAAGCCCCUCCCAAGAUUAGGUCUCCCUGACAGUUUAACUGUCCUAAAGAUCCCUCGGAGACUACGAGGUUGAUAGGCACGGUGUGGAAGAGUAGUGAUACUUGAAGCUAACGUGUACUAAUUGAUCGUGAGGCUUGACCAUAUAACACCCAA
rnacentral:rRNA from 1 species